rnacentral:rRNA from 1 species
GAUGAACGCUAGCGGGAGGCUUAACACAUGCAAGUCGAGGGGCAGCAUAGGGUAGCAAUACUCUGAUGGCGACCGGCAAACGGGUGAGUAACGCGUAUGUAACCUACCCUGUACAGGGGGAUAACCCGGAGAAAUUCGGACUAAUAUCCCAUAACAAUAUCCGGGGGCAUCUUUGGAUAUUUAAAGUUCCGGCGGUACGGGAUGGGCAUGCGUAACAUUAGCUAGUUGGUAAGGUAACGGCUUACCAAGGCUUUGAUGUUUAGGGGUCCUGAGAGGGUGGUCCCCCACACUGGUACUGAGACACGGACCAGACUCCUACGGGAGGCAGCAGUGAGGAAUAUUGGUCAAUGGGCGCAAGCCUGAACCAGCCAUCCCGCGUGCAGGAAGACGGCGCUAUGCGUUGUAAACUGCUUUUCCAGGGAGAGAAACUUGCGCACGUGUUGCGCAAUUGACGGUACCCUGGGAAUAAGCAUCGGCUAACUCCGUGCCAGUAGCCGCGGUAAACUGUAGUCGU